GCCCGGGUGGCGGAAUUGGCAGACGCAGUGGACUCAAAAUCCACCGACCUCUAAAGUCUUGUGGGUUCGACCCCCACCCCGGGCACCA
rnacentral:tRNA from 3 species